rnacentral:rRNA from 1 species
UGCUACGGGGCGCAGCAGUAGGGAAUACUGCUCAAUGGGGGAAACCCUGAAGCAGCAACGCCGCGUGGAGGAUGAAGGUUUUCGGAUUGUAAACUCCUUUUGUUAGAGAAGAUAAUGACGGUAUCUAACGAAUAAGCACCGGCUAACUCCGUGCCAGCAGCCGCGGUAAUACGUAGGGAGCAAGCGUUAUCCGGAUUUACUGGUGUAAAGGGCGCGUAGGCGGGAUGGCAAGUCAGAUGUGAAAUCCAGGGGCUCAACCCCUGAACUGCAUUUGAAACUGUCGUUCUUGAGUACUGGAGAGGUUG